GAUGAAGAACGCAGCGAAAUGCGAUAAGUAAUGCGAAUUGCAGAAUUUCCGUGAGUCAUCGAAUCUUUGAACGCACAUUGCGCCCACUGGUAUUCCGGUGGGCAUGCCUGUUCGAGCGUCAUUAUCCUCCCUCAAACCCCGGGUUUGGUGUUGGACCCAAGUUGUGUGAACAACUGGUCUUAAAGACAAUGACGGCGUCCGUGGGACCCUCGGUGCAACGAGCUUUUAGGAGCACGCAUCGAGUUGCAAGGACCUUCCGGGCCGGUCUCCUUUACCAUUUUACAAGGUUGACCUCGGAUCAGGUAGGAAUACCCGCUGAACUUAAGCAUAUCAAUAAGCGGAGGA
rnacentral:misc_RNA from 1 species